rnacentral:rRNA from 1 species
GACGAACGCUGGCGGCGUGCUUAACACAUGCAAGUCGAACGGAAAGGCCCUGCUUGCCGGGUGCUCGAGUGGCGAACGGGUGAGUAACACGUGGGUGAUCUGCCCCUUACUUUGGGAUAAGCCUGGGAAACUGGGUCUAAUACUGGAUAGGACCAUGCUGUAGGUGGUGUGGUGGAAAGAUUAGUUUCGGUAAGGGAUGAGCUCGCGGCCUAUCAACUUGUUGGUGGGGUAAUGGCCUACCAAGGCGUCGACGGGUAGCCGGCCUGAGAGGGUGGACGGCCACAUUGGGACUGAGAUACGGCCCAGACUCCUACGGGAGGCAGCAGUGGGGCAGAUUGCACACUGGGCGCAAGCCUGAUGCAGCGACGCCGCGUGGGGGAUGACGGCCUUCGGGUUGUAAACUCCUUUCAGCCAUGACGAAGCCCUUGUGGUGACGGUAGUGGUAGAAGAAGCACCGGCUCACUACGUG